ensembl:lncRNA
CUGGUAAAGAAUCCAUCUGCAACGUGGGAGACCUGGGUUUGAGCCCUGGGUUAGGAAGAUCCCCUGGAGAAGUGAAAGGCUACCCACUCCAGUAUUCUGGCCUGGAGAAUUUCAUGGGGUCACAAACAGUCGGACAGGACUCAGUGAUUUUCUCUUUCACUUUCAGCCCUAAGUGAAAAUGUGAAUCUAGAUCUACCUGACUCGAGUGUCAGAGACGACCUCCUACGAUUGGAGAAAAGGAAAACACUUGCUUUCUUUGGAGGGGAAAUUCAGUGCCAGAGACAUACACUUGAAGUUCGUGAUUGAAAUUCCAAAGACAGGGUCUGGGGCUACCCACUUUGUUUCUGAUACUGUGACGAAGCUCUCCUCACCUCCAUUUCUCUCACGUGACAAGCCUCAUCCCCAGCUGACAGUUGCAGGGCAUCCACCUGAAACUUCCUGAGCCUACAGUGUAAAUGGAUUCAUUUCAUCUGAGGAUUAGUAAAAACAAGUUCAUUUUUCCAGAUUCAGCUGAAAUCCCACCUAUGAAGCCUUUAAUCACUAAAAUCCACAGCAAUCCCAAUGCACUUAUUGACUGUAUAAUUCAUAGAGAACCUGGAAAUGUUUUUGGAAUUGCUAUUUAACACUUUUUUAGUUUGAGAGAAAUUUUCCUCUCUUUUUGGCAUUUAGUGAAGAACUGGACCAAGCAAAACACUCUAAUAUCUACUAAGGGCUUCCCUGAUGGCUCAGACGGUAAAGGAUCCACGUGCAAUGCAGGAGGCCUGGGUUUGAUCCCUGGGUCGGGAAGAUCCCCUGGAGAAAGGAAUGGUUACCCAGUCCAGUAUUCUUGCCUGGGAAAUCCCCAUGGACAGAGGAGCUUGGAAGGCUACAGUCCAUCGGAUCACAAGGAGUCAGACACAACUGAGCCACUGACACUUUCACUUUCAAUGGUAUCAUAAAUCAAUAAUAAUAUCUAUUUAAAUGAACCUGGUAACAAAGACAAGGUAGCCUUUAAAAAAUACAGAAAAGAGUGGGAUGGAUUUUAGAAACAUUUCCAUAGGAAUAAAUG